CCCAUCGUGGUGCAGCGGAAAUGAAUCCGACUAGGAAUCAUGAGGUUGUGGGUUCAAUCCCUGGCCUUGCUCAGUGGGUUAAGGAUCUGGCGUUGCCAUGAGCUGUGGUGUAGGUUGCAGACGAGGCUUGGAUCCUGAGUUGCUGUGGCUCUGGUGUAGGCUGGCAGCUGUCGCGCUGAUUAGACCCCUAGCCUGGAAAACUCCAUAUGCUGUAGGUGUUGCCCUAAAACGCAAAAUAAAUAAAUAAAUAAAAAUAAAGAUAUUAGAAUAAUGAAAAUAAAAAGAUUAAUUUCAAAGACCACUAUAUAUAACAUUUUUUUCUCUUCAUCUACCUUCUUUCCUUUUUCCCUUUUGCUGUCUUUGCAUCAUCAUCCCCCUAUUAAAAUGUAAACAAUGUGACAGUGAAAGGGGUAAGAAGCAGCCACUGAAGAUGACAUUACCAGGUACAUUUUGCCUGAUGAAAAGUGCCAUUGCCAUCAGAUGCCCCAGACAUGGUGACUUGUCAGCAGGUGGUGUGAAUCUGCAGGUGCAGGGGACAAACAGAUUCCUGCAAGUUGCAAGUUGUUCUAUGGAUGAAGGCACCUGUGUGACCAGCUGGUACCUGCUUCUUGGAAAUGAUUCAAGAAUGUAUUGAGUACAAAGUUGAGUGGGGCUGGUGGAGCCUGUGUUGUAAGAAAGGAAUGAUUUAGUGGCUGAGAACCAAGGCAGGAUGUUUGCGCAUGCAUGAAUCAGACCUCAAGCUUAUAUUUGGUUGGAGAACAGGAGAAUGAGUGAUGGCAGCAAGAGUGGUUUGCUGGGGGGGUCAGCUGGACCAAUUUCUUGAUGGUGGGUUAGUUCUCGUGUCGUGCCUUUCCUCCUGUUCCCUUUCACCUUCCUGCUGUCUCUGUUCUCCAUCUUAGAUGAGUAGCCACACCAGCACAGGGCCCUGGUUCCCCAUCUUUAUUAGUCAGAAAUGUCACCGUUCCUGAUGUAUCUGGCUUAGAACGUUGGGGUGGAGAGUAAUGACAAUGGGCUCAGAAUGUGGAGGAAGACAGAUCAAGGUCAAUGUACAGUUUGCUCACUCUUGUCUGUGGGUUGUCUCAGCCUGAGAAUUCAGAGUCUAGAAGGCAAAUAAGUAAAUGAAUAGCAUCUCAAGAAAUUGCCAAAAUAGGUUACAUGUACAAAACAGCAAGAACAUUUUAAACUCCAUUUUUCUACUCUCAACCUCCUGCAUGCAUGUAGGUUCCUCUAUAUUCUGUCUCCAAUUUGACUGCAAAUUUUCCUAACAUGACUCUUACUGGGUGGUUGUUGUUGUUUACCACACCCACUGCUUAUGGAAGUUCCUGGGCCAGAGAUUAAAUCUGUGACCUACACACUGUAGCCGUGGUUAACACCAGAUCCUUAAUCCACUGCACCGGCUGAGGAUGGAACCCUCGCUGUUGCAGAAACAACACCAAUCACUGGACAGUAGGAACUCCAAUCCAUACUGCUUUUUUGUCUCUUUUCUCUCAUUUCCCUGGCUGAUCCUGUUCUAUUUUCUUCCUCCGUUCACAAUGGGUCUUUUCUAAUGUAAUCAAUGUUUUUUUCUGUAUCUUCCCAGUUCUCUUUUGAUUACCAUAAUUCAUAAACCCAGGAACCAAGUAUGCGAAGUAUGA
rnacentral:lncRNA from 1 species